rnacentral:rRNA from 1 species
GAUGAACGCUAGCGGCAGGCUUAACACAUGCAAGUCGAGGGUAACAGGAGUAGCUUGCUACUCGCUGACGACCGGCGCACGGGUGCGUAACGCGUAUGUAACUUGCCUCUAACUGGAGAAUAGCCCCGAGAAAUCGGGAUUAAUGCUCCAUAAUACCACGAAUUCGCAUGUUUUUGUGGUUAAAGCUCCGGCGGUUAGAGAUAGGCAUGCGUGACAUUAGUUUGUUGGUGAGGUAACGGCUCACCAAGACUACGAUGUCUAGGGGGCCUGAGAGGGCUAUCCCCCACACUGGUACUGAGACACGGACCAG